rnacentral:lncRNA from 1 species
AAGGAAGCUGCUACAUUGGAGAUGCCUGUGUGACCAGGAACUGUCCCAGUUCCUGCAGGACCCUCAGUCCUACAAUCUGCAAGAAAUCGAAUUCUGCCAGCAAGCAAGUGAGUGAGUUUAAGUCAUGUCCUGUUCCAGCCAAGCCUAUUAGGAUGAUACUGCAGCCCCAGACCUUAAUGGUAGACUCUGAGAGACCCUAAAACAGAGGAGCCAGGUAAACCUCGAUGGCUGACCUACAGAAAUCAUGAGAUACCCGUGCUGUUGUUUCAAGCAUCUCUGCUUUGAGUUCAUGCUGCCUAUUGGAUGGAAUCUCAGAGGGCGCUAUCAGCUGGAACACUGAACAUUGGCCUUCCCACGUGGCUGGAGCUUCCUUACAACAUGGCGACGAGUUCCAACAGUGAGCGUGCUGAGGCAGAGCCCGGUGAAAGCUUCACUGCCUUUUGUAACCUAGCCUUAGAGCUCAUGCAGAGUCCCUUCCACCACCCUGCCUCUAUUCACUGAGGCAGUCACAAAGACUGUCCAUAUUCAAGGGGUAGGGGACUGGAUUCCACCGUUUGUAGGGAGCAGUGCCAAAGAAUUUGCGGACAUGUUUCAAAACAUACAGCCCCUGCUCUGUGGACACUGAUUAUCCUUGUUCUGGUCCCAUGUAUACUCUGUGGGCUACUCCUUUUUACUGGGGGAUGGGAGGUUGGGAUUUUUCAGUCCUGAGUCAAACCUCCCUUCCUGGGGCCAGUGUGAAUAUAUGGGGAGAAGGCUGAGACUGUGAACUC